GGUAAAGUAAGCUAAUGUAAAGCUGCCAGGCCCAUGCCCUUGCAAUGCUGGUGCGACCCCUGCCUUUAUUU
rnacentral:tRNA from 1 species